CUCAUUUUAAUUCCCCAUUCGUUUCCAACUUCCUGCAAGCAAAGAUGAAGCAACAAGGCUCAAUUAUUCCUCCUCAUGUACUAAUCUUUCCAGGUCCAGGUCAAGGUCAUGUCAACCCGAUGCUCAAGCUUGCUGAGCUUUUAGGCCUCUCUGGUCUUAAAGUUACCUUCCUAAACUUUCAGUUCAUCCAUGACCAACUACUCCUUCAUGCAGAUAUUGAACCUCGUUUUACAAAAUAUCCAGGAUUCCAAUUCAAGACAAUUCCAGAUCGUAUGUCAGUUCCUCGAGCAGAAAGGCCAGAAGAUAUGGCUGAUAUAAUUAAAGAGUUGAUAGAGAGAAUGAAAACAUCGAGCAAGACACUUAAGAAGAUACUGGUUGAGAAUAGUCCACCUUUCGACUGUAUCAUAGCAGAUAUGCUUAUGGGAUUUGUCCAUGAUGUUGCCACGGAGGUUGGAAUUCCAGUUAUUCCUUUUGAAAAUACUAGUUCUUGCUCCUUCUGGACGGUUCUUUCUAUCCCUCGCAUUAUUGCAGCCGGAGAACUUCCUAUUAAAGGGAAUCAAGAUAUGGAUCGUCUGAUAACAACAGUACCAGGCAUGGAAACCUUUCUCCGGUGUAGAGAUCUUCCAACUUGUUGCCGAGUUAACGACUUAGCUGACCCUAAACUCUUGAUGAUCACAAACGAGACACGAGAAUCCCAAUUAAGCAUUCAUUCUCAAUACGUUCGAAGACCUAGAAGCACCAAUACUGUGUCCGUUACGCACUCGCUACCCUAAAAUCUACACCAUUGGACCUCUCCACGAGCUCCUGAAAACAAAACUAAGAAGCAUCAAAAAGCAAGAAUCUUAUUCAUCCUUAAAUCCUCUCUGGGAAGUUGACAGAACCUGCAUCACAUGGCUGGAUAACCAGCCAUCGCAAUCUGU
rnacentral:misc_RNA from 1 species